AACGAACGCUGGCGGCAUGCCUAACACAUGCAAGUCGAACGAGACCUUCGGGUCUAGUGGCGCACGGGUGCGUAACGCGUGGGAACCUGCCCUUAGGUUCGGAAUAACUCCCCGAAAGGGGUGCUAAUACCGGAUAAUGUCGUCGGACCAAAGAUUUAUCGCCUCUGGAUGGGCCCGCGUUGGAUUAGCUAGUUGGUAGGGUAAAAGCCUACCAAGGCGACGAUCCAUAGCUGGUCUGAGAGGAUGAUCAGCCACACUGGGACUGAGACACGGCCCAGACUCCUACGGGAGGCAGCAGUGGGGAAUAUUGGACAAUGGGCGAAAGCCUGAUCCAGCAAUGCCGCGUGAGUGAUGAAGGCCUUAGGGUUGUAAAGCUCUUUUACCCGGGAUGAUAAUGACAGUACCGGGAGAAUAAGCGCCGGCUAACUCCGUG
rnacentral:rRNA from 1 species